rnacentral:rRNA from 1 species
ACGGAAGGCAGCAGUGGGGAAUAUUGGACAAUGGGCGAAAGCCUGAUCCAGCGACGCCGCGUGAGUGAAGAAGUAUUUCGGUAUGUAAAGCUCUAUCAGCAGGGAAGAAAAUGACGGUACCUGACUAAGAAGCGCCGGCUAAAUACGUGCCAGCAGCCGCGGUAAUACGUAUGGUGCAAGCGUUAUCCGGAUUUACUGGGCGUAAAGGGAGCGUAGGCGGCUUGGCAAGCCAGAAGUGAAAACCCGGGGCUCAACCCCGUGGAUUGCUUUUGGAACUGUUGAGCUAGAGUGUCGGAGAGGUAAGUGGAAUUCCUAGUGUAGCGGUGAAAUGCGUAGAUAUUAGGAGGAACACCAGUGGCGAAGGCGGCUUACUGGACGAUUACUGACGCUGAGGCUCGAAGGCGUGGGGAGCAAACAGGAUUAGAUACCCUGGUA